rnacentral:lncRNA from 1 species
GGCAUCCGGAUGGCGACUGCGGGAAAUCGAGUUCUCAUGCUGGGGCGAAAGGUGUGUCUGCAGGAGCCAAAUCCAAAUGAGCAGUCCAGGUACUUCAGAGUUUUAACCUGAGCGAAACAGGAAUGUCUCGGGUCUUAACAGGACCGUCCGCCCGCUCGGAAGAGGCGAAUCUCCCACGGCAGACGUCUGGGUGUGCGAAUGCCAGUUGAGCGGGGCCUCGAGGACGCGUCACACACAGCGAGGAUUUGAGGAGGGAAGCGCCUUCCAGAGCUUCAGAGAAGAGGCAGAAGUGUGCAAACAGGAGCAGGUCCAAGAUUUGCAUGGCCAGAAGCAAUUCUUGAUCCUCUUGGCUAGAUUCGAAGAUUUGGCCACCUCCAGACGCUACCACACUCUGGGACAGUGGGAGAUUUGGAACAGCUUUGAGAAGAGCAAGUGUCUACGCACAAAGACAACUCUAGGUCUCCUGCUGGAGCUACACUCCCAUGGGACUAAACGGUGUCCAUGUGGAAGCAUCUGAUGGCCACCUUCUGUUCAGGUGAGAAACCUGUUUAUUCUGUCUUUAGUCUUUCAGCAGCCGGCUUCUAGUAUCUCCUGGCAAUUGAUGGUAACUGGCUGGAGCUGCUCUCUGGUGUUGCCUGAAGGCCAGAGAGUGAAUAGGGCCAGCAGCCCUGCCUGCAAGGCAGAAAGGCUGUUCCUAUAUUUUCUGAUCGGUAGCCUCAAUGCCUACGUGUGACGCAACUGACAGUGGAAGCUCAUUCACGGCAAAUUCACAUGUUUUGGAUGACUCAGAUUUUCUCUUUCUCACUCUAAAUUCUCCUGUGGAGUCAGCCAGCCAUCCUAUUCCAGCUAAAUCAGCUGAUCUUGGUCACCACCCCAUCCCCAGGGAUGGGCGGAGGGGGUGGCGGCAGCGACAGCAGGGGAGGCAGCUGGAUUAAACAGGUCACCUGCAGGUAUUUUAUGCUGGGGUUUGUAAGGAAGGUGAUAACUGUCGCUACUCCCAUGACCUCUCUGACAGUCCGUGUGGUGUAGUGUGCAAGUAUUUUCAGUGAGGGUACUGUAUUUAUGGAGACCGCUGCAGAUAUGAACAUAGCAAGCCAUUGAAACAGGAAGAAGCAGCUGCUACAGAGCUAACUACAAUAUCAUCCCUUGCUGCUUCCUCAAGUCUCUUGUCGUUAGUCGGACCACUUGUUGAAAUGAAUACAGGUGAAGCUGAGUCAAGAAAUUCAAACUUUGCAAUUGUAGGAGCAGGUUCAGAGGACUGGGUGCAUGCUAUUGAGUUUGUUCCUGGGCAACCCUACUUUGGCUAUAUUAGAUUUUCAGUUCCCUUGUAGUUCAUGUAUCUGUCUUAUUAGUUUGGACCUUUACCACCCUCUUGAAAAUUUUCAGCUGUGCCUUCCUGCACUGAAGCACCUCUGCAGGACUCAGUGACCAAGGAAGAAUCAGAGAAAGAGAAAAACUGCUGUGGAAACCAAGAAGCAGCUGUGCCCCUGUGCUGCAGUGAGAGAGUGCUGAGAUGGGGAGAACUGUGUGCCUCUCCAUGGAGAUUCAUGUGACAUGUGUGGACUGCAGGUCCUGCAUCCCAUGGCUGCUGCCCAGAGAUCACAGCAUAUAAAAUUGUGCAUUGAGGCCCAUGAGAAGGACAUGGAGCUCUCACUUGCUGUGCAGCGCAGCAAGGACGUGGUGUAUGGGAUCUGCAUGGAGGUGGUCUAUGAGAAAGCAAACCCCAGUGAGUGCUGCUUCGGGAUUCUCUCCAACUGCAACCAUGCCUACUGUCUCAAGUGCAUUCGCAAGUGGAGCAGUGCUAAGCAAUUUCAGAGCAAGAUUAUAAAGUCCUGCCUAGAUUGCCAGAUCACAUCUAACUUUGUCAUUCCAAGUGAGUCCUGGGUGGAGAAAGAAGAGAAGCAGAAACUCAUUCAGAAAUACAAGGAGGCAUUGAGCAACAAGGCUUGCAGGUAUUUUGAUGAAGGACGUGGGAGCUGCCCAUUUGGAAGGAAUUGUUUUUACAAGCAUGCGUACCCUGAUGGCCUUACAGAGAAGCCACAGAGACAGAAAGUGGGAACAUCAAGCAGAAACUGGGUCCAAUGAAGGAACCACUUCUGAGAACUCACUGAGGAAAGAGAUAGCAGCAACCCUUUUGACAAUGAUGAAGAGGUUGUCACCUCUUGAGGUGGGCGAGAUGUUGCUUAUGCUUUUGGCUGCAGGUGGGGAUGAUGAACUGGCAGACUCUGAAGAUGAGUGGGACUUGUUUCAUGAUGAGCUGGAAGAUUUUUAUGAUUUGGAUCUAUAGCAACCUUGUGUGGCGUGUGAACUGGUCUGCUGACCCCAGACAGCAGCUGUCCCCUGUGCUGGUGUGGCAGUGCCUGUGUUCUCUCCUAGGUAGGCCUAUCAACUCCAGGUGUUGUAAAAAUUUUUACCCAGGGCCUGUCUUCUCAACCCUUCACCUUUCCCCGAGGAG